UACGUAGGCAGCGAGCGUUGUUCGGAAUUACUGGGCGUAAAGAGUGUGUAGGUGGUGUCGUAAGUUUGGUGUGAAAUCUCCCGGCUUAACUGGGAGGGUGCGCCGAAGACUGCGAUGCUGGAGUAUGGGAGAGGAAAGCGGAAUUCCUGGUGUAGCGGUGAAAUGCGUAGAUAUCAGGAGGAACACCUGCGGUGUAGACGGCUUUCUGGACCAUUACUGACACUGAGGAGCGAAAGCGUGGGUAGCAAACAGG
rnacentral:rRNA from 1 species